AUUGAACGCUGGCGGCAGGCCUAACACAUGCAAGUCGAGCGGCAGCGGGAAAGUAGCUUGCUACUUUUGCUGGCGAGCGGCGGACGGGUGAGUAAUACCUGGGAAAUUGCCCAGUCGCGGGGGAUAACAGUUGGAAACGACUGCUAAUACCGCAUACGCCCUACGGGGGAAAGCAUGGGACCUUCGGGCCUUGCGCGCUUGGAUAUGCCCAUGUGGGAUUAGCUAGUUGAGGAGGUAAUGGCUCACCAAGGCGACGAUCCCUAGAUGGUCUGAGAGGAUGAGCAGCCACACUGGAACUGAGACACGGUCCAGACUCCUACGGGAGGCAGCAGUGGGGAAUACUGCACAAUGGGGGAAACCCUGAUGCAGCCAUGCCGCGUGUGUGAAGAAGGCCUUCGGGUUGUAAAGCACUUUCAGCGAGGAGGAAAGGUUGAUGCCUAUUACGUAUCAACUGUGACGUUACUCGCAGAAGAAGCACCGGCUAACUACGUGCCAGCCGCCGCCGUAAAAC
rnacentral:rRNA from 1 species